AUUGAAAAAAAUAUUGAGUUUAAGUUUUAGGAAUAAUUAUGUGAAAUCUAAAAUUUUGAUUUUUUCUUUUGAUUGAAUGAAAAAAGAGAUUUUUUUGUAUUGAAAAUUGCAACUCAACUAAUACGCCAAAUGGCAGUAAUGAAGGGCGCUCGAAAGAAUUUCUCGGUUCGAGGGAAGACAAAUCAAAAGGAAAUCUAAUAUCGUCGAAAUUGCACUAGUUGUCCAUGGCGGUUGUUAUAGAUAUGCCUUGCGUAACACUUUAUUAUAGACGCGAAAACUUAAAGACAAAAGCUAACCUCAUUGCGAAUCAUGUUACGAAUAAAUGUAAAGUUACAAAUAAUAUGAUUAUAUCAUUCAUAACAUACAGUUGAUUUGAAUAAUUGGCACCGAAUCUUCAAGUUGGAAAUAUGCAGUUCGAUAAAAUGGUCCACGCAAAGAUAUUACGUUACGCCCACGCAAUAAACGGCGUUAACACGAGAAUGUUAAGAGUUAAUGGACCAACUUCCCGGACACGACGAGUUUCAACAGCCGUAGCGAAUCCUCUGGCAAUGACAUUGACAAAACUGUCAUUUCUCAUCGAUCAAAGAAAUACCUGUAUUUUUAUUUAAAUAGUCAAAUUAUUGUUAAAUGUUUAAUCUCAAAGAUGUUAAACAAUGUUUGCA